rnacentral:lncRNA from 1 species
AUGCAGAAGGAGACAACGACCUGCAUAGCACAACAAAACUACAAAUCACCACAGAGCUACAGACCAGCAACGAAGGGAGCUGAGGGCAAUUUGACCAACAUCAUCUGUGUCGGUUCCCCAGAUGUCAAUGAAACGCGUAAUCGGGUCUCCAAGACCACAAGCCUCAGAAGAUCACUGUGGAAGAAACACACUGGGCCAACCCAUCCUGUUGAUAUGACACAAAGUGCAGCCCAGUUUGGUAUUCUUUCCACUCUGAAGAAGUCUCACACCAGGAAAGGAAGAUAUAAACCACCACAGAAACAAACUGCUUUCCUCAUGGAAGAAUGGUAACUUUGGACAACAUUUGGCACUGCAAGUUCAAAGGGCUAUUUCAUCUGCAUUAGCAAAAGGUCUGGCAAGUGAAGAACUAAAUGACAAAUACCAUAUCAGCUAAGCACAGAAGCAUUCCAUGUAAUAGAAGAUACCCACACUUUGAGACCAGAGACCAAUUUAACUCCUUAACCGUGCAGGAUGGCAAAACAUUUGUUACAUAACAGCAACUUCACAUGGCAUUUUUACAUCCUGCCAUCUUUUCACUGAAGAACAGAAGAUUAGACUUCUACCGACUCUGAGAGACGGGGAGUGGAGCCAGCAGCAAUAUUUAGCACAGAGUGACUGAUUUCUGGCACCAUCUAGCUUCUCUGCAAGAGGAAUCUGGCAGCCUG